ACGGGAGGCAGCAGUGAGGAAUUUUCCGCAAUGAGCGAAAGCUUGACGGAGCAAUACCGCGUGGAGGACGAAGGCUCAUGGGUCGUAAACUCCUUUUCUUAGGGAAGAAUUUUGACGGUACCUAAGGAAUAAGCAUCGGCUAAUUCCGUGCCAGCAGCCGCGGUAAGACGGGAGAUGCAAGCGUUAUUCGGAUUUAUUGGGCGUAAAGGGUCUGUAGGUUGUUGGUUAAGUCUAUGGUCAAAUUCCGAAGCUCAACUUCGGGCCGGCACUAGAAACUAAUCAACUUGAGUACGUCAGAGGCAGGGGGAAUUCCCAGUGUAGCGGUGAAAUGCGUAGAUAUUGGGAGGAACAUCAAUGGCGAAGGCACCCUGCUAGGCCGAUACUGACACUGAAAGACGAAAGCUAGGGGAGCAAAUGGGAUUAGAUACCCCAGUAGUCCUAGCUGUAAACGAUGGGGACUAAACUUUGGUUUUAAAAAUCAGAGUUAAAGCUAACGCGUUAAGUCCCCCGCCUGGGGAGUACGCCCGCAAGAGUGAAACUCAAAGGAAUUGACGGAGGU
rnacentral:rRNA from 1 species